rnacentral:rRNA from 1 species
UACAGAGGUCUCAAGCGUUGUUCGGAUUCAUUGGGCGUAAAGGGUGCGUAGGCGGCGCGGUAAGUCGGGUGUGAAAUCUUGGAGCUUAACUCCGAAACUGCAUUCGAUACUGCCGUGCUUGAGGACUGGAGAGGAGACUGGAAUUUACGGUGUAGCGGUGAAAUGCGCAGAUAUCAGGAAGAACACCCGUGGCUAAGGCGGCUCUCUAGCACGGUACUGACGCUGAGACGCGAAAGCGUGGGGAGCGAACAGG